CCCCAGGACAUGGAAGCCAGAGCAUCAGAAGACCCCCACAAAUCCCAGCCUUGGGGUUCUGCCAGGAGCUGUUGCUGGCCCAGCGCGAGCCUGACCGCACCUGGGAGAGCAGCUCCCACAUCCUCUUGGCCAACCUCCUGUGGAGGGGCUACCCCAUGACUGUGCGGCAGUGGAAGGCCCCUGGAAAGCGGCCUGAUGUGCUGUUGGCUGCCCUUGAGCACUGCAGGUGCUGGAGGCCCUGCCAUUCCUGCCGGCCCGCUGGCGUGUUUGCAUGGCCUCAGCUCUCAUGCUGGGCAGCUGGUGCGGCCAAGCCUGGCCAAGGGGGGCAGCCUGGAGCAUGGGCACUUCCUGCACCACUGCUGGCUGAGGCCCAAGGCUCCUCCUGGGGAGGCCCAGGCUCAGGGCUGCCCCUGCCACCUCAGACCUCUACAGCUUCUGCAUCCUGGUCCAAGUCUUCACUGCUCAGUGUGUGACCCCAUACCCUACUCCACUGAGGCACCCCUCUCGUUUGGGUCUCUCAGUCAUGCUUCCUCACAGGAGAGCUGCCCUGGGAUGAGAUGAAAGCUAAACUGGAGGCAGGACUCGGCUCCUGAGGUGAGCUCCCUGACAGAUUGGACCACACUGUGCCCUGUACUCCAGGGGUCUUCACCAGAUACUGUACUAUGAGGUGAUUCCCAGAGCCAAGACUACACCCAGGAUGGUGCCCCCUGUGAUGUCCCUAGACUCCCCCCAAUCCCAGCAGGCACCCAGCCCUGAGCUAAUCAGAGGCCUCUCCUCCGGCCUGCGGAAGUGAGAAGUGGGCCCUGGCGGGAGUCCUCUGGGCACCUUCCUCCUUGCUGAGAUAUUACCCCUUAGAGUGACUCUCCACUCAGCACCUGCUGAAUGAUAAAAUGAAAUAAGAUGAUAAAGCAACCCAUCUGGAUCCACUUCUUCAUUCACCGAGCCUGGUCCCAGCAUGACACUAGCGGCCACAUUUUCACCAUUUUUUUUUUUGAGGGCAUCUCUCAUAUUUAUUGAUCAUAUGGUUGUUAACAACAAUAAAGUUCUG